AUCAAUCACAUGAUUUUUUCAUAAAUUAUAUCCCAUGAAUUGAGAGAAAAUCUCAUCAAUUCCAACACUCUUCCUUGAUGAGAUUUUUACUGAAAUUAUUUAUCCAUCAUCAAGCUUCCUUUUUUUAAAAUAAAUGAAUAAAUAAACAGCUACUAUUUAAAGAUGGAUAAUACUCCAAUAAGAUUUAUGAAGAAAGAAUUUGGGAGAAAAUUUGCUUUUGGGACUCAAACCCAAAGUUGAAUAAGAAGAAUAUAGAAGAAAAAUAACUUGGGACUAAAA
rnacentral:misc_RNA from 1 species